rnacentral:rRNA from 1 species
AUUGAACGCUGGCGGCAGGCCUAACACAUGCAAGUCGAGCGGAUGAAGGGAGCUUGCUCCUGGAUUCAGCGGCGGACGGGUGAGUAAUGCCUAGGAAUCUGCCUGGUAGUGGGGGAUAACGUCCGGAAACGGGCGCUAAUACCGCAUACGUCCUGAGGGAGAAAGUGGGGGAUCUGUGGACCUCACGCUAUCAGAUGAGCCUAGGUCGGAUUAGCUAGUUGGUGGGGUAAAGGCCUACCAAGGCGACGAUCCGUAACUGGUCUGAGAGGAUGAUCAGUCACACUGGAACUGAGACACGGUCCAGACUCCUACGGGAGGCAGCAGUGGGGAAUAUUGGACAAUGGGCGAAAGCCUGAUCCAGCCAUGCCGCGUGUGUGAAGAAGGUCUUCGGAUUGUAAAGCACUUUAAGUUGGGAGGAAGGGCAGUAAGUUAAUACCUUGCUGUUUUGACGUUACCAACAGAAUAAGCACCGGCUAACUUCGUG